AUGGGUUAAUAUGCUAGAAGUUGAGUGUGCUUGGACAACACUUUAUGAGCUGAAUGAUGAGGGAAGGCUCUCUGUAGAGAAGGGGACAUCUGAGCUGAGAACCUGAAUUACUCACAGGAAGGGGCCAGUUCUGCAUUCUUGGCAAAGAGAAGAGCUGGUGCCCAGACAUUGUGACUGAAGAGGCCAGGCAUUUCCACAGGGUGGAAGAAUAGUGGGUCUAAAUUCCCACAACCAAGAUGAGAAUGGUAAGAAAUCUGGAAAAUGGCCACCUCUUGUACACCUCCUAGGCCAUGGAUGGCCGAUACUAGGCAUGCAUGUGCAUACAGAAAAGAGAGUAACCCAAUAGUGAGGAAGAAAUUGAUGCUGCAGGAGAGAGGGAAUAAUUGCCGAAGCAAAGAUCUUGAGGUACUGAGAAAGGAUGACCCUAAUUUCCUUAAUGCUGCAGCCUGCUUCCACUGAGGGACUGGAGGCUCCUUGAGCAAAAUUAUCUACCUCUUCACCUUUGGAUCUUUCACAGUUCCCAGUUCGGUGUACUACAGAUUGUACUUGCUAAAUAAAAAAUCAUUGUCAUGGUUUACCUAAAUGCCUGAAGUGUUAAUAAUAAAAAAAAAACCCUUUAUUCCCUCCCAUACACUUUAUAAAUCUACAGGAUUAGAGAAACAGAAUCAUCUAGACAUUUCUGGUGGUAAUGGAAAAUUGUUCAACCACUCUGGAAAAUUGUUUGGCAUUUUCCUAUAAAACUAAACAUGAAAUUACCAUAUGACCCAGAAAUUGCAC
rnacentral:lncRNA from 10 species